CUCAUAGCUCAGCUGGUAGAGCAUCUGACUUUUAAUCAGAGGGUCACAGGUUCGAUCCCUGUUGAGCC
rnacentral:tRNA from 1 species